rnacentral:rRNA from 1 species
AACGCGAAGAACCUUACCUGCCCUUGACAUACCAAGAACCUAGUAGAGAUACUGGGGUGCCGAAAGGAACUUGGAUACAGGUGCUGCAUGGCUGUCGUCAGCUCGUGUCGUGAGAUGUUGGGUUAAGUCCCGUAACGAGCGCAACCCUUAUUCUUAGUUACCAUCACGUAAUGGUGGGGACUCUAAGAAGACUGCUGGUGAGAAGCCGGAGGAAGGCGGGGACGACGUCAAGUCAUCAUGGCCCUUACGGGCAGGGCUACACACGUGCUACAAUGGUCGGUACAGAAGGCAGCGAAACCGAGAGGUGAAGCGAAUCCUUUAAAGCCGGUCGUAGUCCGGAUCGGAGUCUGCAACUCGACUCCGUGAAGUCGGAAUCGCUAGUAAUCGCGAAUCAGCAUGUCGCGGUGAAUACGUUCCCGGGCCUUGUACACACCGUAGUAC